UCGUCAUUUUCCUGUCCAUAUACAUUGUCAUCAUUCUCAAAAAAGUUAGCAUCCUCUAAAAUCUCUGAUAUUAACCCUUCAUUUAAUGAGCUACCAACAUCCUCCCUUCCCCUCUUCUUUAAACAUUUGGAGACCUUACCAGGUAUGUAAUUUGUGCAUUGCAUUUGUCGAAGAACUUCGGUACCAGUUGGUGGAAUAGGGGCAGAACGCAACUCUGUGGUACUAUCAAACAGAUCAUUCUGAAAUCGAAAUGGAUGGUUUGGUUCUAACCAUCGACGAUGGCCCAUAUAACAGAACUUUCCUCCAUGUUUUAACCAAUAUGAAUGGGUUGAAUCUCCACAAGAAGGACAUGCAAUACGCCCCUUAGUGCUCCAACCGGAUAAAUUAGCAUAUGCAGGAAAAUCAUUAAUAGUCCAUAUAAGAGCUGCACGCAAUUUGAAUGUUUGACCAGUAAAAGCAUCAAAUGCAUCAAUACCCUCCCAUAACUN
rnacentral:lncRNA from 1 species